UAAAAACCUGGUACAGGGGCUGCCC
rnacentral:piRNA from 1 species